UACGGGGGGGGCAAGCGUUGUUCGGAAUUAUUGGGCGUAAAGGGCUCGUAGGUGGCCAACUAAGUCAGACGUGAAAUCCCUCGGCUUAACCGGGGAACUGCGUCUGAUACUGGAUGGCUUGAGUUCGGGAGAGGGAUGCGGAAUUCCAGGUGUAGCGGUGAAAUGCGUAGAUAUCUGGAGGAACACCGGUGGCGAAGGCGGCAUCCUGGACCGACACUGACACUGAGGAGCGAAAGCCAGGGGAGCAAACGGG
rnacentral:rRNA from 1 species